rnacentral:rRNA from 1 species
CGCCAGACUCCUACGGGAGGCAGCAGUGGGGGAUAUUGCACAAUGGGGGGAACCCUGAUGCAGCGACGCCGCGUGAGUGAAGAAGUAUCUCGGUAUGUAAAGCUCUAUCAGCAGGGAAGAAAGAAAUGACAGUACCUGACUAAGAAGCCCCGGCUAACUACGUGCCAGCAGCCGCGGUAAUACGUAGGGGGCAAGCGUUAUCCGGAUUUACUGGGUGUAAAGGGAGCGUAGACGGCGCGGCAAGUCUGAAGUGAAAGGCAGGGGCUUAACCCCUGAACUGCUUUGGAAACUGCCACGCUAGAGUGCUGGAGAGGUAAGUGGAAUUCCUAGUGUAGCGGUGAAAUGCGUAGAUAUUAGGAGGAACACCAGUGGCGAAGGCGGCUUACUGGACAGUAACUGACGUUGAGGCUCGAAAGCGUGGGGAGCAAACAGGAUUAGAUACCCCAGUA